UACGAAGGGGGCUAGCGUUGCUCGGAAUUACUGGGCGUAAAGGGCGCGUAGGCGGACAGUUUAGUCAGAGGUGAAAGCCCAGGGCUCAACCUUGGAAUUGCCUUUGAUACUGGCUGUCUUGAGUUCGGGAGAGGUGAGUGGAAUGCCGAGUGUAGAGGUGAAAUUCGUAGAUAUUCGGAAGAACACCAGUGGCGAAGGCGACUCACUGGCCCGUUACUGACGCUGAGGCGCGAAAGCGUGGGGAGCAAACAGG
rnacentral:rRNA from 1 species